UACGAAGGGGGCAAGCGUUGUUCGGAAUUACUGGGCGUAAAGGGCGCGCAGGCGGCAUACGUAGUCAGGCGUGAAAGCCCCGGGCUUAACCUGGGAAUUGCGUUUGAUACUCGUGAGCUAGAGUUCGGGAGAGGUUGGUGGAACUGCGAGUGUAGAGGUGAAAUUCGUAGAUAUUCGCAAGAACACCAGUGGCGAAGGCGGCUCACUGGCCCGGUCCUGACGCUGAAACGCGAAGGCGUGGGGAGCGAACGGG
rnacentral:rRNA from 1 species